GGACCAAGGAGUCUAGCAUGUGCGCGAGUCAUUGGGAUUUUUACUAAACCUAAAGGCGUAAUGAAAGUGAAGGUCCGCCUUGCGCGGACCGAGGGAGGAUGGACCGUUCCGAGGGACGGCCUCGCACUCCCGGGGCGUCUCGCUCUCAUCGCGAGAAGAGGCGCACCCAGAGCGUACACGCUGGGACCCGAAAGAUGGUGAACUAUGCCUGGUCAGGACGAAGUCAGGGGAAACCCUGAUGGAGGUCCGUAGCGAUUCUGACGUGCAAAUCGAUCGUCGGAACUGGGUAUAGGGGCGAAAGACUAAUCGAACCAUCUAGUAGCUGGUUCCCUCCGAAGUUUCCCUCAGGAUAGCUGGCGCUCGCUUCUCGCGAGUCUCAUUCGGUAAAGCGAAUGAUUAGAGGCAUUGGGGUCGAAACGGCCUCAACCUAUUCUCAAACUUUAAAUGGGUGAGAUCUCCGGCUUGCUUGAACUGUGAAGCCGCGAGAUAUCGGAUCAGAGUGCCAAGUGGGCCACUUUUGGUAAGCAGAACUGGCGCUGUGGGAUGAACCAAACGCUGAGUUAAAGCGCCUAAAUCGACGCUUAUGGGAUACCAUGAAAGGCGUUGGUAACUUAAGACAGCAGGACGGUGGCCAUG
rnacentral:rRNA from 1 species